UUGGGGUAAGCUGUAGCUGUGUUUGAGGUCUAUGGUGCGGUGCGUUGUGUAUUUGUUGGGCACCCCCGCCCUCUACCCGGCAUCUCCUCCCUAUCCCUGGUCCACGGCGCCACACAGGCGUUUUCCCUAACAAUUUUGGCUCUUCACGAGCCUGAAUCCCACUGUAACAACCACACACACACAACCACACACACAACCACACACAUACAUACAUUUUGGCGGCAUACAGUGGUUGCAAUCAGUGGGACAGCUGGCGGCAU
rnacentral:lncRNA from 1 species